rnacentral:rRNA from 1 species
CCUACGGGUGGCAGCAGUAGGGAAUCUUCCACAAUGGACGAAAGCCUGAUGGAGCAACGCCGCGUGGGUGAAGAAGGUCUUCGGAUCGUAAAACCCUGUUGUUAGAGAAGAAAGUGCGUGAGAGUAACCGAUCACGUUUCGACGGUAUCUAACCAGAAAGCUACGGCUAACUACGGGCCAGCAGCCGCGGUAAUACGUAGGUGGCAAGCGUUAUCCGGUUUUAUUGGGCGUAAAGGGAACGCAGGCGGGCUUUUAAGUUUGAUGUGAAAGCCUUCGGGUUAACCGGAGUAGUGCAUUGGAUACUGGGAGACUUGAGUGCAGAUGAGGAGAGUGGAACUCGAUGUGUAGCGGUGAAAUGCGUAGAUAUAUGGAAGAACACCAGUGGCGAAAGCAGCUCUCUGGUCUGUAACUGACGCUGAGGUUCGAAAGCGUGGGUAGCAAACAGGAUUAGAUACCCGAGUAGUC